GACGAACCGUGCAAACGUUAUUCGGAAUCACUGGGCUUAAAGGGCGCGUAGGCGGGCGGUCAAGUCAGGGGUGAAAUCUUUCGGCUCAACCGGAAAAGUGCCUUUGAUACUGGCCGUCUCGAGGGAGGUAGGGGCGUGCGGAACUUUGGGUGGAGCGGUGAAAUGCGUAGAUAUCCAAAGGAACACCGGUGGCGAAAGCGGCGCGCUGGACCUCUACUGACGCUGAGGAGCGAAAGCAUGGGGAGCGAACAGG
rnacentral:rRNA from 1 species